AAACAUGUAAAAAAAAAAAAAACUAAUUAUAAAAUUAAAAUAAAAACAUACACAUUGUAUAUACACAGUCACAUGUGCAUACAGCUCACGCUUAAAAUGAUAGAUGGGCCUGAUCUUCCUGCAGUAGGCUAUGAAUAUCUAAUAUUUACCUGGUUUGUUGUUUGGUCUGUCUUGGGCUCUCAUGCUCCACUCACCAUGCUUUCUGAGAACCACCCACAUAAAUUUCAUAUAUACUCAGAGUUGGAUUCGUGAAGCAAAACUUUUUGCGAGCGCAUGUUCCGCCUGCCAGGUCUGUUGACCUAAUGAGAGGUCUACAGCUGCAGCCUGGAGCCUUGCCACUACCCGACGGUCGUGUACGCCGCCUCAGGCCUUUGAAGACCCGGAGAAUGAGGACAACCAGUUGUUUAGGUGGGCCGGUAUGCACGAUUAAUUGAUGAAUUACAUUUUUAUUUUGUAAACAUUAUAUAUAUCAAUAGCCAUCACUUGAUACAAAAACAGGACAUUCAAAUUUACAGUGCGGAAAAAUCUCUCUCUCUCUAAAAUAUGCAGGCACACUGGUGGUUCUCAGAUUGUGUGAGACGAGAGAGCAAAUAUAAACUUUUUCAUCCAUCCUUUUCUCUGUACAUUUUAGAAGGUGUGGCUUGGUAAAGCGCUUUGGACAACAUGAGGUGUCGGUCAGCACUAUAAAAGUGCACUUCAUUUUAGCAUUUACUGUUCUGAUAAAAUUGGAUGUUUAAUUUUUGGGGGGCUACGGCAAAAGUACAAUUAGUAUUGAACUUGGUUUAAAGGUAAACAUUGAGCCGAUACAAGCUACAAAAGUCAAAAAUGAGUGACGGUGUAAGAUGGUAAAUUCUGUGUCAAAUUUUGAAUCAACCCUCCGUUAAAUAACUACUGAGUUUUUCAGAUGGUGAUAAUUUUAGGACUGACAUCAUUUUUACAUAAAGUCCUACUACAUAAGUGCCAAUGUUCUGCCCAAUCAACGAUCCCUUCAAGGGUUGGGUUCAACCGCAGGUGACAUUUUUUUUCUUUGACCUCAUACCUAUACAUUACAAUGCAUGGAAAAAAUAUGGACAAAAAAAAAGACGCAUAGAUGAAUUAAAAAAUACAUGAAGGGACACAUAAAUGCUAUGAUUACAAUUUUCUGUUGAACAGUGGGUCUUGGAAAAAUCAGUCAGAAAUGCUCUAAAGUUGUUGUGGCAGUGUUAAAGGAAUGUAGCCCCAGUAUGGAACCGUGCAUCCAUGUUGUCGGUCUGGAGGCAGUCUUUGAAUUUAAAUUUAUUUCAAAUGAGCACAGAUGAAUCUCUACAUUCA